GCCGCUAUGGUGAAACUGGUAGACACGCUGCUCUUAGGAAGCAGUGCUAGGGCAUCUCGG
rnacentral:tRNA from 1 species